rnacentral:lncRNA from 1 species
AAGCAAUCUUUCUGCCUUGGCCUCCCAAAGCACUGGGGUUACAGGCAUGAGCCACCAUGCCUGGCCCCAUGUCCUGUUUCUAAACUAAUAAUUAGCAAGGUAAGGCAAAAACGGUCCUUUUACCUGUAUUUGAGCUCACAUCUACGGAGGCUUCAACAGAACAAUUCCAUGUCCUAUUUUUGGAAGAAAGCUCCAAUUUCUAGCCCUAGUUUUCAGUGUUGUGGAGUAGUUUUAUUUCCUGUCUUUCGUAUUUUUUUUUUAAAAAAAGCUUCUCCAACAUUUUAGUUGCAAUCUGAGACAGUCUGUUUCAGAGACAAAAUUUUACAGCCAGAUGCUCCAGUGUGAGCCGCUGCAGUUUGUUUCUAAGGAUGAUCAGUAACGAAUGGGGAAUGCUUGUCAUUUGCUCAAAUAUUGUGAAGUCUUGUCUUUUCUUGGGCACAUGCACACUUUUAUAGGCAAGGUUUCAUCCAUCCGUAAUGCCUGCUGGGACAACUGGGAGAACAGGUCAGUCAUUUGCAGAAACAGACCUAAAACCCUAAGGCCUAGGAGCCAUCACAGCCCCCACCCCAUCUGGACAUUAACAAGACACACAGGGUGGGGAAAGAAGGCAAAUGGGAGUGCAGUGGAGUCAGGAGAUAGGCAACUCUGGGCCUCCACUUCCGUGGGGGAUUUUAAUAAUCUCCCUGGAGUCACAGUGGGUUGUUAUAAGGAGGCAGAGGGAAGGUAGGAUGGUUCUGAUACAGAAAAUAGCUCCUCAGUGGGACAGGGGAGAUGACAGCAGAGAAGCUUUCAACCACCUUUUUUUUUGUGAUGCCACAAGUCUCUGCAGCUCACCUGUAUAGCGCUAUUGCUCUAUUCCACGUGACAAAACAUGAGUCACCUGCUCAAUUAGUUUCAUUCAGUCCAUUAUCCCUAUAGCUAGGGAGAGCUCUCUCCCAUAAACUGGCAAAUCAUUGUUCAAUAUAUUUAAUCUUAAUAUGGUUGAUCCUUCCUUUUCUUUCUUUUUACCUCUCUUCCUCUCUCCAUCCUUCUUAUUCAUCCAUCCACCUAUCUAUCCAUCCAUUUACCUGAAGGUAUGUUGACCAUCUACUUUGUGUCAGGUACUAUUCCAAGCACUUAAUAUACAAUAUCUGAUUAAAUUUUAACAAUACCCUGGAAGUUAGCUCUUAAUAUUCUUUAUGAAUAUUAUAUGAGGUUUAGAGAGUUUAUGUGUCUUGUCCAAGAUUCAGCAAAAUUCAGCCCAUGGGCUAAAUUCAACCUAUUUUUGUAAAUAAAGUUUAGUUGGAACAUAUCCAUGCCCAUUUGUUUACGUAUGACACAAUUUCAGCAGAGUGGAGUAGUUACAACAGAGACCAUUUGGUCCACAAAUGCUAACAUAUUUACUAACUGGCCCUUAACUGAAAAAGUUUGCCAACCCCUGUUCUUGCCCAGUAAUACUUAGCAAGAAAGUAGCAGAGUCAAAGAUUCAAACCCAGAUCUAUUUAACUCAAAAGGCCAUAAUUCUUCAAUGCUGUGUCAUGCAACAGAAGUAUGUGAGUUUUGUCUACAUGACUUCUUGACACCUAGGGUGAGAUGGCCAGGCUAGAUUUAUGGUAAGAGGAACAGAUCUGACAUAUAUUACUUAGUAAGUAGCCAAUUACUGUGGAAGACUCUCUUCAUUUGUAAGAAAAGCCAGUGAGGAUGCUUUUUUUUUUUUUCCUGGUGAAGUAAUUAUAGAGACGAGUGUUGAUGCAUGUUUUGACUUUGCUGCAAAAGUAGUUCUGUCUUCUCCAGUUUAAGUAAUUACAUUAGUUUCUAAAUAGAGCAGAUGGAACUAUAGUUGUCAAAGAAUGCAAAGAUCAGUCAACUGCAUUUAUGGUGUGACAUUCUAAGCAGAGAUACCGCAAAGUAUCUUGUGCAAAACCAACUAGGUGAGUGCUAUUGAGCACCUGUGAGCCAGAAGAAAACAGGAGAAAAAUGUGGCUAAAUGGAAAUGGAAAUUUCUACACAAUGGGAUCUGGUGGCAAACACAUUUUCCUACCAUAAUGCCCCAACAAUUGCUUGUUUUCUAAUGUUGCCUGGUUGGGGGAAGAUAUAUUCUGAGUGUUCCUCCAAACUUGUAGAACUCAAUUUUUCUGGGGGAGAGGGUUGUCCUAAGAUGGUCUGCUUGGUACUCAGAGUGCAAAGAUGUCUCCUGCAAGAAGCAAGCAGCUUAUGAAGGAAGCAAUGACUUAAAGCAGACACGUUACCUCUAAAGAACAGGGAGAAGAUCAAAUCCAGAACCAGGCAGUAGUAAUAAGGGAACUGACCUGGCAAUAGGCCAAGGAUCCAAACGACAUGGGAACCAGGCAUGAUUCAAAACAGCCACUGCUGAACACCUACACCAAUGGGGGGAAAAAUGAUACUCUUAGCGUUAGAGUCCACAACUGCUACAGAGUCUCAGCUGUGAUUUCUACUGCCGGGUGUCCCCAUAGAAGUCUGCAUCCCAACCCCUGAGACCUGUGAAUAUGUUACCUUACUUAGCAAAAGGGACUUUGCAGAUAUAAUUAAGCUAAAGAUCUUGAGAUGGGGAGAUUAUUCUUCAUUUUUUGGGUGGGCUCAGUGUAAUCACAAGUGUCCUUGUAAAUGAAAGUGGGAGGUAAGAGGGUCAGAGUCAGAGAGAGAUGUCAAGAUGCUACACUGCUACCUUUGAAGAUAGAGGAAGGGGCCAUGAGCCAAGCAGUGCAGACAGCUUCUAGGAGCUAGAAAAAGUCAGCCGACAGAUUCUGUCCCAGAACCUCUAGAACCAACACAUCCAGGCAACACCUUGAUUUUAGCCCAGUGAAACCCAUUUCAGACAUCUGACUCCCAGAAGGCCAGAAGAUAAUAAAUUUGUGUGGUUUCAAGCCACUAUGUCUAUGGUAAUUUGUUAUAGCAGCAAUGAUAAACUAAUACAACAGCCCUGACUUGGGGGGAGGGUAAAGGAAAGAGCCACACACCACCACCCUCUCACCAUGGGAGGAAUAGUUGAAAUGAACACAUGACUUCAGGUCCCCAACAAAGAGCUGAAUGGGUUUCAGGCUAGCUUGCUAAUUCAUUCACCAAUUCUCAGCUCUGGUGUUGCUUGAUUCAGAAGGUAAAGACAAUUUUUAAAUUUCCUUAAUUUCAAAACUUAAUUCAUCCAAUGCAUUUAAUUUAAAAUCAUACAUUAUUUAUCCACAAAUCCUGAUACACAGGGAAAGAAACAGAAAUAUUUGCUGGACAGGUGGCAUGGAAACAAAGGGUUAUUAGCGAUUGCCAUGCAGGCCUAAGUGAAUUCACAAUGACCAUCAUGACAUCAUGUCUGUUGUUACUAUCAAGAGCGUUGCUCUUGGAUAAGUAUCAAUAACCUCAGAACUAUGGAAAGAACCAUGUGUGGAGUUUGGCACCACAGAUAUUCUCUGAGUGAUUGAAGUCUCUUCUACCAUGGUGAGUGGUACCAUGGAAGUAAUCUUGUCCCCAGGCCUCCUAAGCUUACUUAUGAUGAAGUGAUGAGACUCUUACCCAAGAAACCAUUACAGAAAAAAAAAUCCUCGCCUAAUAAAAUUGUGCCAGUGAACAAACUCUCAGAUAUAUGGCCAUAUUGACAAGAUCUGCAAUGGUAUCAAAAGAGGUCAAGCUAAUAACCUGAGGAAACAGGAAGAAAACUCCAAUUGUCUUAUACAGAAGGUCUACAAUCAAUAGGAUGAAGUCUAACACUGGCGAGAGUGGGAGGCCUUGAAAGCUCCAUGAUAGAGAUGACAGAGCUAUAAGAUGAAAGCAGCCCAAAUCCCUGAGUCACCAAUGUUUGAAGAAGAGCUUCCCAGGAGAGGUACCAGACCCACAUGAGACUUCACAUGAUUAUAAAAUGAACUUCUAUUGUGUUGAAUCUCUGAACUUCAGGGUUGUUUUGCAGCACAGACUACAUUAUAGUGACAAGUAGAGGAAGGUACAGUAAAAGCCUUGCCAUCACUCCCAUUAUACAGAGGAAGAAACUGAGACCUAGAGAAGUUCAGAACCUUGCUACAUCAAUCAGAAGUACAAGCCAAGGCUCAUGAAGUGGUUUCCUUAUUUUCUCACCCCAAGUUAGUAAGUCUGUAACUUCUCCUUCACAGUGCAAUUUGUCACGCAGUCUAUGGCACUGUAGAAUUUGGCUAUAGAUCCCUAAGUCAGAAAAGUCCAUGUUUGGAGAACUACUAGUAAGUCAAGACAGAGGAGUGUGACAAAGGCUGACAAAACCCUACCUGCAGCCUGGAGGUCACAGGCAGCCUGCUUUUUGAGUCUCCCUGAAUGGAGGGGAAGGGGCUCUCCCUGAGGGAAUGUGCUCAACUCUGGGUCGUGUGGAAGAGUUAGGAAGUUAACACUCCAUGAGCGACCCUCAUCCAAUGUCGGCUGGGAAUGGGUGGAUAAAUACCCUAACUUUCUAAGGUAUAUGUGUGUCCAGCAGGGCCUCCAGUGGGGAUGAACCACAGUUGGCCACAAUGGUAACCUGCCCAUUAACACACCCUUCAUUGGUCUUUAUUCCCUUCCCUGAGCCUUCACUGUGUUUUCAGGGAUCACCUCCGAAGGAAAUGACUUACACCCAAAUCAGGAUCUGUUUUUGAGGGAACCCAACAUAACACAUGGAGAGAUGGGUUUCCUAUGAAGAAGGAAAUAUGGGCUGUAAAAUACCACGGAGAGUCAGAGUAAGUACAGGCGGCUACAACAAAGAUAGAUCAGGUCACGGAGGUCUCUGGGAAUAGAGGAAAGCCACCCAGAGGAAAAAAGGACAUGACUGCCACUAGCACCAUAUGUAUGUUUCAGAUGGGAUGUGUAUUUAUGUGUGUGUGUGUGUGUGUGUGUGUGUGUGUGUGUGUGUAGGGAGGGGUGACAGAGAGAGAGAGGCAGAAUAAAUAUCUUGGUCAUUGGUUACAAGCCAACAAAACUGAAGUGAUGAAACUCAGUGAGUUUUAUAGAAAUGUGCUGGAGAUGCUUCAAUUACUUUCUCAAUAGGUCUAUUUUGAUAACUGAAUGAAAAGAAUCCAUGUGAAGCACCUACCACUCUUCCUGGCUUGUAGUGAACACACAAAAAGAAUUGUUGAUUAUUGUAGUAGACACUGUAGUGUACCUCCUAGAUUCUCCUUACCCAGCCACUAUACCCAUCCCCAUUGCUGUGAGGUCAGGUGCCCAGGAAUCACAGCAUCCCACCCACCCUUCCCUUGCUCCAGGCAAUGCCCUCAACUGGUAGGUGUCACUUUGCCCAGAAACUACCAUUCUUCUCCAGGGGACCCACGGCCAAGGGCAAACUGGCAUAGGCUAUGCAAGGCUGGCCCCUGGCAGAAUGUAUGUGGAAGGGGCAACUCUUCAGUGUGCUUUAUGGACCAUGGACCAAAUCCAGCUCUCCAUUUGCUUUUGUAAAUUGUUAUUGGAACACAGCCACCCCAUUCCUUUUUGAAUUGUCCAUGGCUGCUUUCCUGCUACAACAGAAGUUGAGUUAUUGCAACAGAGGUCGUCUGGGCCACAAGAUCUAAAGUAUUUACUCUGGCCCUUGAUGGAAGAAACUUGUCCACCGAGCCCUAGAGCUGCACUUCCAAUAUGGUAGCCAUUGGCCAUAUGUGGAUAUUUCAAUUUAAAUUCAUUAAAAUUAAAUAAAAUUAAUAUUUCAGUUCUUCAACUCCAAAAAUUACAUUUUGAGUACUCAGUAGCCAUGAGUCGCUGGUGACUCUCCUAUCAGCCCAGAUACAGAACACUGCCAUCUUCACAGGAAGUUCUGUUGGAUGGUGCUGCACUAUAGGCUUCAGCUUCUGGGUAAAACU